GGCGGUGUGUGGUACACAGGGCGGGGUUCAACUCCCCGGACAGACCAUGGUGGAAAGUAAGAGGGUGCCGGUUCGACUCCGGCCGCCGCCA
rnacentral:tRNA from 3 species